AUUAAAGGCCCCGAACAGUCAUUCCAAUUCCCAUGUAAAAUAGCCUCUUGUGUGACUAAAAUAUCACCCAUAAUAUUUGUUUUGGAUAGGAGUGGAAAUUUAUUUGAGAAAAUUACUAACUACCAGGAAGUUUGAAAAGACAGUGUGAGUGGGCAGGGAGCUUAAAUUCAUGAGCUUGCCUUGACUGACAGCUAUAAAACGCCAAUGUCAAGCAACUUCGGAUUCAGUAUUGCAAUAAUCAUCAAGACAAUUUGGUGAUACACAAAGCAACUCAAACAACAUUGAAAUUGCAUGAAUGAUGUCAACUUUUUUUUUAUAUAUACAUCUUCCGUUUGGCAUGUCUCUUGUUAUGUGGUUCACAGCAACACUGACUGAUGUGUUGACUUGACAACUGUGUCAGGGUUUUGAACGGCCCUCCGCCUUUUCUUCCAUGCUGGCUGAAGCCCUGGGUAGCCAGUAACUAGCUAACACCAGACACAGAUGAAGCCCUGGGUAGCCAGUAACUAGCUAAUACCAGACACAGAUGAAGACCUAGGUAACCAGUAACUAGCUAACACCAGACACAGAUGAAGACCUAGGUAGCCAGUAACUAACUAACACCAGACACAGAUGAAGACCUAGGUAGCCAGUAACUAGCUAACACCAGACACAGAUGAAGACCUAGGUAGCCAGUAACUAGCUAACACCAGACACAGAUGAAGACCUAGGUAGCCAGUAACUAGCUAACACCAGACACAGAUGAAGACCUAGGUAGCCAGUAACUAGCUAACACCAGACACAGAUGAAGACCUAGGUAGCCAGUAACUAGCUAACACCAGACACAGAUGAAGACCUAGGUAGCCAGUAACUAGCUAACACCAGACACAGAUGAAGACCUAGGUAGCCAGUAACUAGCUAACACCAGACACAGAUGAAGACCUAGGUAGCCAGUAACUAGCUAACACCAGACACAGAUGAAGACCUAGGUAGCCAGUAACUAGCGAACGCCAGACACAGAUGAAGACCUAGGUAGCCAGUAACUAGCUAACACCAGACACAGAUGAAAGGGGAAACAUGUAAGUAUCUUUGCCAGAGAUAAAUAGGGUAAACUUUUAAAUAUAUUUGCUGACACCCUACUGUAACCCUACUGUUGGCACCAGUAGAGUAGCUAUCUAGCUAUAUAAACUACGCCCCUCUACAAACACGCCUUCUUCAAUGUUGGUUACAAAGCGGUACAUAUUUACAUUAGAUAAGAGAACAUCAUGUUAUCAUCGGUGUAUUAAAA